rnacentral:rRNA from 2 species
CCGUUCCCAUGCCGAACACGGAAGUUAAGCUCUUCAGCGCCGAUGGUAGUUGGGGGUCUCCCCCUGUGAGAGUAGGACGCCGCCAAGC